GAAUUAGCUUUCACAAUCACGGAAGCCAAGAAGACCUACAGUUAUCUGCCAGCCAGAGACCCAGAAGAGCCAGUGCUGUACUUCAGUCUGAAGUUCUGAGUCUGAGGUCUGAGAACUGGGGGAGCCGAUGGUGUAAGCCCUAGUCCAAGGGCAGGAGAAGAUAAGUCCCAGCUAAGCCGUGAGGCAGGGAAUAGGGUCAGGUUCUUCCUUCCUGCAUCUAUUCUUCUAUCCCAGCCAUGAAUGGAUUGGAUGAUUUUGUACCCACAUCAGGGAGAGAAUCUGCUUCACAGGGUCCAUGGAUUCAAGUGCCAAUGUCUCCAAAAACUCCCUCCCAGACAUCCCCAGAAAUGAUCUGGGGAUGAUCUCGGUACCUCGUGACCAGAAACUUGGACUCAGCUGUGUCCAGUUUGAGCUGGUUGAGACUGGCUAGGACAACGGACCCUCCCACUGGGCAUGUGGCAGUGUCCUCUCUGUGACCUUUGAUGUCAGAGGGCCAGGAGCUCCACCCUCAAAACAUGGCAACACCACAAGUUCUGGGCAUGCAGGCCUGGUUAUGUCUGCACAGAACGAUGAUGAUCACAGCUUUUCCUUAUUCCCACUUACCUUUCCCCAGGCUCCACACACAUUACAGCUCCAUCCCAUAAUUAUCCCAAGCCCCUCUCUUUCGGAGAGGUGGGUUUGGGAUCAGUUCUCCCAUCUCCUCUCUUGGCUGCAGUGUGAAUAAAGUCUUUGCUGCCAACCUCAGUGUCUUAGCCCUUGGCUUGCUGCACAUUGGGAAGGGAUGCCUGUAUGCUCAGUCUCUCAGUCGUGUUCCACUCUUUGCAACCCAUGGACUUUAGCCAAUCAGACUCUUCUCUCUAUGGGAUUUCCCAGGAAGAAAUCAGGCUUCCGGAGACAGCUGUCAUUAAUUGAAGUUAGGUCACACUGCAUCACAAACCUUCACCCCAGAACACUGAGUGCAAUAUUCUGGAUCGUAUCAGCUGCCUGUGUAGGACCCAUUCCUUCCAUGACGAAAUGUAUUUAAUUUGAUUUCUGAGUAUGAAUGACACACCUGUGAGAUAGAGUUUGGAAUUCAGUCUGCUCAUUUAACUGUAAAGAAAUACUCUAUUUGGUUCAAAAGUCAUCUUUUGGUUAUAAUAAUACUUGCCCCCUCAUCCGUAGUUCCUUCCUUCCUCCAUCCACUCACCCAUUAAUCCAUUAAUUUAUUCAAUAUUUAUUGUUCCUCUACAAUUGUAUGUGCUAUACAACCUUGUGAUGUUUUAGUUCAGAAAUACUGAAUAGGAAAUAAACUUUUCUC
ensembl:lncRNA